GACGAACGCUGGCGGCGUGCUUAACACAUGCAAGUCGAACGGUGACGCUGGAGCUUGCUCCAGCUGAUCAGUGGCGAACGGGUGAGUAACACGUGAGCAACCUGCCCUUGACUCUGGGAUAACCCCGGGAAACCGGAGCUAAUACCGGAUACGAACCACACAGGCAUCUGCGCGGUUGGAAAGUUUUUCGGUCAAGGAUGGGCUCGCGGCCUAUCAGCUUGUUGGUGGGGUAACGGCCCACCAAGGCGACGACGGGUAGCCGGCCUGAGAGGGCGACCGGCCACACUGGGACUGAGACACGGCCCAGACUCCUACGGGAGGCAGCAGUGGGGAAUAUUGCACAAUGGGCGAAAGCCUGAUGCAGCGACGCCGCGUGAGGGAUGAAGGCCUUCGGGUUGUAAACCUCUUUCAGCAGGGAAGAAGCGAAAGUGACGGUACCUGCAGAAGAAGCACCGGCUAACUACGUGCCAGCAGCCGCCGUAAAAC
rnacentral:rRNA from 1 species